CAGUCUAGCAAUGAGAGGUCGUGGGGCUCUUGUCUCUUGAUCAAAUCCCCUCACGCAGACAAAACCUGCAAAAUGCUUUUUGAGAAUGACAUUUGCAAGGACAGUAUUACAUAAUCCGACUCUAGAAGCUAGGUAAAAAAUGAGAAGACUCAGUAUUUUGUAGGUGCUUAUUAGAAGGCCAUUUGGUGUCUCAUAAUUGAUGGUGUUGAGAGGUGUUGUGGACGAGCAAUACAAACUGGUAAACAUCAAACAAGAACUCAGGAACUUACACUUGAUGUUCUGUCCGUAGACGGCUGACAUUUUUCAGCUUGGGAGUAGGAAUUGAAGCCGCAUCUGGAUUCAAGGCGACCAGAGCUUUGGAUAAGUCACCUUCUU